rnacentral:rRNA from 1 species
UCUAGUAACGAUGGCGAAGAGGUCACACCCGUUCCCAUACCGAACACGGAAGUUAAGCUCUUCAGCGCCGAUGGUAGUUGGGGGUUUCCCCCUGCGAGAGUAGGACGUUGCUAGGC